AAAGUCAGAAAAAAAAAACAAACACAAACAGGGAAAGAUAAGAUAACAAGAUUGGAAAGGACAGGAAAAAACAAUACACAGGAAAUGGCAACAGCAACAAUCAUGUUUAUUCUUACUGGAAACAGUAUAAGAACACUGACAGAAGAGGUGAGGAAUAAGGCAGCCAGUCUUAAAGAGGUCUAAAGAAAAUAUCUACUAUGGCAUGAAAUGCUCAGUUAUUUCUCAGUGAAGGUGACAGGUCACUUAACUUUUAGCUUGAAUUAGUCAGUUCAGAGCAGGAUUCCUGUGAAGUCAGCAAACUAAAAUGGGUACCUCCAGAGGGCGAUUCAUCCCAUCCUAAGGUCUGAAUCUUAGACUCUGAAUCACGUAUUUGAAAUGUAAUUAAUUUUGUGAAGUUCAGUAGGUAUUUAUGAAGCUAGCAUCUUAUCUUCAAGAUGAAUAUUUAUGGAUAACAUCUGGAUUAAAAUAAUAAGUGAUUCAGCAUAUUUUCAACUUCCUUUAAUCUGAACAAAGAAAAUGUACUAAUGACUUUCAUCUGCACAGAACAUGUAAUAUGUUCGUGCUGCAUAAUAUUUUUUACUACUGAACAGUACUUGUGUGCACUACACUGAGCACAAAAAUAAAGUCUGACCCAAAAAAAAAGGAAGUUUGCCUUUCUGUUAGAACUAACUAUGUACUAUUAGGCUUUAAGUUUAUCUGCUGUAAAUAAAAAUUUAAGCUUAACAUCGAUAGGAUUCUCUAUUCCAAACUUUAAGACACAAUUCAUUAAGUAUCAUAUUUAACUGAUACUUAAAAUGGCACAGCUGGUAUUUCAGUAAUUUGUUACUAAAUACAGUGAAUGCUGCUGUGAAAAAAUGCUGAAAUACAAUGUCAUGAUCAUGGACACAUUUUAUAAUGGUUAUUUUGAACAAACUAUAGUUAAAUAAGAGUCAUGGGUGAAGGGCUGCUUUUAAAGUUGGUAUACAGCCCAAUCUGUGCAGGAAAGUUCAGUGUGGAACUGGUCUGUGGAAACAACCUCUUCAUAUCACCUUCACCAGCUUGCCAGCCCAGAUGCAGAGCCAAGACUGUGUGCUUACAGAACAGCAGUACUAAAGCAUAAAUAAUCAGAGAAGGGGAUGGAAAAGUGAGCUUUUCUCCUGGGCAGUGAUCUGGGGGCUGGAAGACACCAAAGGACAGAAGUGCUCACCAUUAGCACUUCCUUGUCAGUGUGGAAAGUCUGAGAGACAUAGUCCUGGGACUGGAGUGGUCUUCCAGUAAUGACUAUUUCAGAAUACAGUCAUCUUGAUACUGCCUAUUACAUGAGGACAACACAAAGUUGCCUGUUACAAUGCAAUUAAAAAGACACCUUUAAAAUUUAAAUAGACUUGGAAUGGGAAUUUGCACUGAUCAAUUUACAUGAUCUAAACCAUUCUAGAAUCAUGCAGCAUGAAAUAGUGUAACAUCAACGCAAAACAACAUAAUGGCAAAGGCUUAACUAUAAAAUAGACCAAAAAGUCUCUUAUUUAGAACUUCUAAAAGUUUUGUCUGCAUUUAAUUUCAUUUUCCUUUUAGAAUGAACAUGAAGAAUACAGUUAUGUUAGUUUUUCUGUAUCCCUAUCUUUACUAGGUGCCCUUAUAAACUGUUGCCCAGUGACAGACAUGGCACAGGAAUGGGAACCCUAUCACACAGCAAUUUAUAGCAUAGUUCUUAUGCUGACCUAUCUCUAUCAGCAGAAAUUAAUACACUACAUUCCAAAAAGUAGAUGUUACCAUUCCAAAAUUAAUUGUGAACUGGUACCAUAAGGCCUCUCCCUGCCCCACCCAUUUUCACUCUCUGUCCCUUUCAGAGGGGAUGUCACUCUGCCAUACAUCAGCUCAGGGCUCAGUUACACUGAAGUGUUGCUAAGGUGAACAGUUAAAAUGUUUUAUGCGUACCACUGAGCAAAGGUAUGAAAAUGGGAGAUCCUUAUUUCUGUAGUUAAAAGGGUUUUUUGCAUGGUAAUUCAUGAAGACCAGUUAUAGUCACUGUAUGAAUAUUUGUUAAUUGCUCAGUUUAAAAAGUAUGGGAUUUCCCUAAACAUAUACUCUUGCUAUAAUACUAAAUAUACUUAUGGGAAUCAUGCAGAAACUAAGAAACAUCCAUGAACAAAUUAUGGAAUGAAACUUUGUAUUUGCAAUUUCCUAAUUUAUUUUAUUCUUUUACAGCUUAUGGAUCAAACCCACGCUGAUGUCUAACCUGUAAUGAGUGCCAAUGUUUUGACCUUUCAAUAGAGAGCUGAUUUUGGAGAACGGCUUACUCCUGUGAUUGAAAAACUCUCUGGAAGGUUGAUGGAGCAUGAGCAUGGAGAGUCUUUCAUUGAGAUGAUUGAAAUUGCUGCAGUGAGAAUGGAAAUUACUUGGGCUCCUUUCCUUUUAAAAGCUGCAUGCAAGAACUGUGUGGUGAGUCAAAUGUAGACUAAUGGUUAUGUAAAUGUCUCUAAUUUUAGAUACAGAUCUGAAAGUGUGUUUCCUUUUAAGAAUUUAUUUUCUUCACUAUCAUGACUCAGUAUCACUUGCUAAUCUAAUUUUAUUAGCCCUGUUGUAUUUUACCAUUUAAAAUACAUAUACCUUGUUCAAAUAGGUGUUCACAGAGUCAAGUUAAUAUACCAUAUAAAUGUUUUAAAAGGAGUAGAAGCAGCUUAUCUUCACUCAAGAAUUGCUUUGAUUUUAGCCUUCAUGAGCCUGCUACUGGUGCAGUUGCACGCAUACAAACAUGAUGUAGAUGAAUAUGAAUCCAAGUUGUUGUAAUUUAUAAGUUUGCAUUAUUUGACCAUAGUUCAGAAUUUAACACUGGUAAAAAUCACAUCUCGUUUACAACUGCUAUGGAUUUGAACUAGCAAAAUUACUAAUGGCUAAAAUUUCCAAUUUAGUUCAAACCUGAACAGUUCUCAAUAGCACAGCUAUGCAGAAUUAGCCUACAGCUUUUCAUAAAGAACACUUGUGUGCACAUUUACCUACUACAUUUCUCUUAAGAUACAUGACCAAAGGUUGACUGCUUAUAAAAAAUAUCCUAUCUGGCUCAAAGUUGGAUAGCUUUCUUAUUGAGUUUCUGCAAGUAGCAGUGUAACUGCUAAAUAUUAAAGACCUGCACAUAAACUUCAGCCAUUUGAAGACUUAGAAAUUCUUGGAAAGACCUUAAAUGUGGCUGAUUUUUUUCAGCAUGCUGCAGCCUGGUACUUGCAGCAGGCCACCCAUCCAGUUGCUCUUGUAUAUCUAGUAUUUUAAUGUACCCAGGAUUUUUCCCAGGGACUUUUAUGAGUAGAUGUGAAUUUAAGGAGGUGAUCAGAGACUUGAGAGCAUACAACAAGUAAGUCUAUUUGUGUGGCUUUGUCAAAGUCCAGUGGCCGAGCUGCUUGUUCCUGACAACUUCAUUGUGCUCAUGUUGGCCUUUGUGCAAAGAGUGAAACAGACUGUACUUCCUUCUGGUUCACCAUGCAAACUCCUAUCACUGGCACAAGGGCAGGAAAUAGCAGGGAGCAGGAAGAAGCAGAAGGGCAAAGGUUGGAGCGCCUUGUUCGGUGGCCCUAGCAGCUUAGAAUAGUUCAGUGACAUGGUGAAAACACAGUUUGAGCAUUUGCAGAACCAGAGUUCAACUGAGGAACCAAAGUUCCUGUCUGGAUUAAGAAAACUACUUCAAGUGCUUAUGUAGGCCUACUCAAAUAAUUCUGUUCCUAAACCUUUGAAAAGGAUGUUACAUUUCUCACAUGGUUCACAGGUAGCUUAAUAUUAGCAGUUCAGAGGUUUGCCUGUAUGGGUGGUGCCAGAGACUGUAGCUGGAUCAAACUCAUUUUGUGUUGCAGCUCUGAGGUCCUAAGGACCAUGCCUGAUGUAAGAAAGGAAAGCUCAGUGUUUUUAGUUCAGGUGCUUAUUUUCUGCUAGGUAGGAACUGUAUGGGAAAAAGAUACUUAAUUCACAUAAAAAAGACGAGAAAAGAUAGAUCUGCUUGAAAAUAAACUAAUAGCUGUAUGUGAGUGAAAACAACUAGUGCUAGGAGCAUGUCUAAAAACGUGAUGUUAAAAGGUUGGAGCUGAGAACAGAUACAGGAAGGACAGAUCUGAUGAACUGGAAAAUCAGAAAGAUUGAAAUCCAUCGGGCAAAGAUUUGGGGGUUUGAUUAUUUAUUGAAAUUGGAAGAAGCAGCAUCCUGACAGAGGGGAUCUGGCAUGAAGCAAAGAGAAUCAGUCAGGCUUAGGGAAAGAGGCUCAUCCCUCAGAUGAUCCCUCAAUCCUCAGAUGAUUCCUAACAUUCACUGGAGUGCUUUGCACUUCAGAUCCAGAAGGGAAUGCAGACUGUUUAGUAGCUUUUGCUGUCAUAUAGGAAAUCACUGUCAAUUUCAUCCCCCUCAUCGUUUUUCACAAAGAUGGCAGGCCUAUUACGACCCUGAGCUACUUCAUGGAUUUUGGUCCUGAAAAUAAAUCCCAAAGUAAGUAGCUGAGGUUGUAAGGGAAAGCUCUAGUUCAAACAGAGUCAUUUCUUUAAGGCUUGUCCAGUCAAUUUUGAAUAUAUUCAAGGAUGGAGACUCUGCAUCCUGCCCUGUUCAGCUAGAAUUUCAUGCAGUUCAUUUCUUACCGGUUGCCUCUUGUCCUGUCUCUGGACACAACUGAGAAGAGCCUGACUAUGUCUUCUUUACUCUCCCAUACCCCCACCAGCAGGCAUUUAGGAACAUUGCUGAGAUCACACAAACACAAGCCUUUUCUUCUCCAGGCUGGAGUCUCAGCUCACUCAGCCUUUCUUCGUGUGAAAGAUUCUUCAGUUCUCUCAUCGUCUUUGUGGAAGUAAAUAAAAUGCUUCAUCUAAUAAGGGGAAUUAGAAUUCAAAGGAGAAAACGUUUUUUGUGAGGGGGGGAGAAAAAGCCAAAGCACAAGCUAAUAACUGUAAAAAGAACAAGAAGAUCACAAAAUGAAACAUUAAGAAGUUAGAUAACUCCUGCUUUAAGAUUCUGCAAUCUUCAUUUGCCCCCUUGUGUCGGUAUACUAUGAAGCAAUCUUCAUGAUCACACACAAUGUUUAAUGUAUUGAUAGGGUCAGCCUGUUGUGGUGCUGGGCCAGGGAAGAUGUUUGUGGGCUGUGCAAUCAAGAAGCCUGAUGUUGUUACAGGUGCUUCAGAAACUGGUAAAAAAACUCUGUAGGCAAUGCAACAAAUGGCUGCAAAUAGAAGAAACCAUGUCUUCAUGGUUAUAUCAAGUGAGAAUUCCUAAGAAUUUGAUGUGAUGUUUAUUUUUCUGCCUUUAUUCUCACAUGAUGCUGGACAAGUAACCCGGCCAUUGUUUCUGUAAUGCAUAUAUUGUGCUUUAUUUAGAGGUGUCUGAUUUAAGACUCAUGUGUGAGAGAAACACUGGUGGUUCACAUUGGUAGCUGGGCUUCUUAGGAGUUGUCAUUUGAAUUAAAAUACUCUGUAAAGUUAUGUCUGCUGACAGUCUCCUGUCUUCUUAAAACGAACUUCAGAUUGUUGCAUACUAUGAUAGUUUCUACACCUCCUUGUCACAUUUAAAAUGGGAGUAAUGGACACAUACCUUGAAGGGCUGUUGGCUACUUUGUUUAGUAGCUGUACUACAGUAAUGCAUGUCCUCAUGGAAUUUUCUAUGGCAUUUAGUAAUUCUGAUUUCGGAGGAAGAGGUGAGUACCGUGCAUCUUUUAAAGACCAGAUCUGCAAUCAACUUAUCAACUGUUGUCAGCUCAGGCUGGGAAGCAGAGUUUCUGUGCUAUUUAUUCAUGGUCUAUUUCUGCAGUCCUGUGAACGGCAAAAUAUUCUGAUUUGUGUCCUGUCUUGUCACUGAUUCAUUUUGCAAAUAUAACUCAUUAUUAAAUACUUGUGUGUGUCA